AUGAACAGCAGGGGCAGAAAAGCAGGCGAGCCAGGGGGCUGCAGAGUCAUCUGCGAGAUGGCAAAACCACAGGAGAGAGGACAAGGGCGAGCUGAGCGGCAAGGCGUUCCUGCUGCAGGAGCAAGCCUGCUCCCGGCGACACCCCUCCUUUCCUGCGCAGACUGGAGCCCGCUGGGAGGGGCUGAGGACUGCGGUGAGCGCUGCAGUGUCGGCUUGCAGAGCAGAGCCGCCCCACGCGGUGAUGCGGGAGCAGGAUCUGACUCAGGCUGAGUUGUUCCUUGGGAGAUAUAUUCCACAACUGCAGUGUUCUUGGUGAUGUUUUAAAAGGUAAGUGACCAGCCUGGGCUAAUCCUUGAGUCAGGCCAAAGGCCUGUGCCCUCUGAACUCAGCCCACGGUUCCAUCUUGCUCAAUAUAAGGAUAACCCUAGAACAUCACUAGAGAGAAGCAGUGUGGACCUCACAUGCGUGUCUGGAAGUGGGUGCAUUAUGGCCAGGAUUUUGGUAGUGGCUCAGAAGUGAAAGAGCUCUGCUUGUAAUGCCCAGUUAAAUUAACCUGAGAAAACACUGUUAAAUAACAUGUUUACUAACUGGAUAAUUACUCUGUUGGGCUGCCCUGGUGGCUCAGUGGUAGAGAAUUUGCUUGCCAGUGCAGGAGGCACAAGUUUGAUCGCUGGGUAGAAGAUCCCUGGAGAAGGAAAUGGCAAGCCACUCCAGUUUUCUUGCCUGGGAAAUCCCAUGGACAGAGGAGCCUGGCGGCUACGGUCCAUGGGUUCAUAAAGAGUUGGACACGACUGAGCAGCUAAACAACAACAAUGAUUACUCUGUUGUUAUCAUCCAUUUGGUUUUAGAAAUGGGAUGAACAGAGUUCCCAGUGGAGCUGAGAGAGGAGCUGGAUUUGCCCUGGAAUGCUAUCCACCAGGACAAUUCCCAUAAUCUAGAGUGUACCAUACAGGAAGCAUGGCUGAGUCACAGACAUGGCCAUCAACAAUCUCCAGGACUCAUUCGAAGACUUGGUG
rnacentral:lncRNA from 1 species